rnacentral:lncRNA from 1 species
AGAAGGCGGAUGAGUAUUGUUGGGGUUAACAUUAACUUCUUCCAUGCAAUUAUAGACAUCAUAACUUCACCAGUAUAUACUAUGUCAUUUAUUUUUGUUCCAUUCUAUUUGGGUUUAGGGUUAUAUUUGGGUUAUGAUAUAUAUUUGGGUAAGAGUUUAGUGACAAGAGUUUGUUUAUAUUUGGAGUUUAGAGUCUAGUGAUUAGGGUUUUGAUUUUAGUUUUUAGUAGGUGAGGGGUAUGGUUGGGGUCAACAUUAACUUAUUUCAUGCAAUCAUAUAUGUUUCAUAAUUUCACCAAUAUAUAUGUACUAUGCUAUGUAUUUUGUUCCAUUCCAUUUGGUUUUAGAGUUUAUAUUUGGGUUUAUGUUUUAGUGAUUAGGAUUUUGGAUUUAGUAGUAUUUAGUAGGUGAGGGGUAUGGUUGGGGUCAACAUUAACUUAUUCCAUGAAAUCAUAUAUGUUUCAUAAUUUCACUAAUAUGUACUAUGCUAUGAAUUUUGUUCCGUUCUAUUUGGGUUUAGGAUUUAUACUUGGGUUUAUAAUUUAUAUUUGGGUUUAGAGUUUAAUAAUUAGAGUUUAGUUAUUAGGGUUUAGAGUUUCGUAUUUAUGAAUUGGGGUAGUGUUUAGUAUUUAAGGAUUGUGGAUGUUGUUGCGUCCUCCUAUACUAUUUCGGUGACAUGGAAUAGAACACUACGUGCAUAUGUAUAUUACCGUAUAUUAUUAUUUUUAGAUGUUGGGGUUCGGGUAAUGUUUAGUACUUAGGUGUUGCAUAGUGAUUGAGAUUUAGGAUUCAGUAUAUAGGGGUUGAGAUAAUGUUUAGUAUUUAAGGUUAUGAGUGGAGUUAUAAUUUUAUACUAUUUCAGCGAUAUGGAAUAGAACAUUCGGUGUAUAUAUGUGGUUAAUGAACAUGUGACGUGGAUGUUUGAUAUGUGAUUAUAAACACGGUACAAAAAUAAUGACGUCGCCUACUUUCUCACUUGCAACUGGAAACCUGUUAUAAAAAGAAUAGAACCGGAUGAAAUGUGUUCAAAGAGUCUGAUAUUGAAUUAUGUCAAAAUCAAUGCUACUCAUCUAAUUUAUCACUCAAAUAUGGUUAUUUGGCCAAUAAGCCAUAUACAAAACAUUCUAAGAUACCCGUUCAAUAUGUAUAUUCAUCAUCAGUUGGAUAUAUAAUAUGUUGACUAUCCAAUUUACUAUCAUUGUAACUUUGGACUUUUGCUCUCACCUCUUUGACAUAGUUUUAACUUUUACAUACGCCAUACAAAAGGGCUAUAGCUCCUUCGCUUCUUCAGUAUUUGAGAAAACUCGAGAUCGCAUGAUACCAUCUCAAGAAUUCGAAUAUUUUCUUAUGACCACUUGUGCAAUAAAGGCAAUCUACGUGGUUCCGUUUUAGUCUUAUCGUUAUGCAUGGAAUUCGAAUAUAUUACGAUGUCAAUAAUCAAACCAAAUUGGAUUUUAUCCCCAGUGAAUAAAAUUUAUGUUAAGUCAAGGUCCCAAAAAAAUAUAAAGUCAUAGUUUUUCUUUUUCCUCUUUCAAAUGAUAUUAAUGGUGACCCAAUUUUGAUCUCAAGAGUCGUUAUUCUUGUAUCAGGAAAAAAAAAAGAAAAGAAAAGAAUACAAAACCAAGUGGUGGUAGCCUAGUGGCAAUCUCUUGGGGCUUGGUGUGUACCCGCAUCAGUCCUGGGUUUGAUUCUCUCUGGGAACUAAAUUAUCACUACUUGGUCAGUCUGGGCUUGGGCUUCGGCCCAAGUGGUUUACAUGGUGGGUCAUAACAGAUGAUUGGUCCACCCCCUGACAUUAGUCGGAAGGUAUUCCAAACUCGGGUCAGACAGUGUGGUACGCUUUCGGGCUAGUCCACUCUGUAGCACUAAGUGCGUUCCUCCCAGGCCGACCGGAUCAGCCGAAAAAAACAACAAUCAAUAACUGUGUGGUUUAGUGGUUGUGUUGCGGUUUUAUCUGGGUCUGAUGCGCGUCUGUGCUUUAUUUUUCAACAUUUACUUAACGAAUGGCAUUUCUGUAAUUAUAUCAUCUUCUUCAUCUAAUUUUUUUUAGGGUUUUCUACAACUACACAACGCGGCCGCCAUUAAUUUUCCACAAAAUCUUCAUUUUUUGCUUUUAAACAACGUUUUAACCUACAAACUUGUAGAUUUAUCAUAUUCUAAACGAUCUUUGAAUUUUAGAACAUAAAAACUAAGAAUUUCGUACUUAUCCGCCCAAUUUUCCAUUUAAUACUAAAAAUCGUUCAGAAUAUGAUAAAUCUACAAGUUUGUAGGUUAAGACAUUGUUUAAGCACAAAAAAAAAAGAAGAUUUUGUGGAAAAAAUUAAUGGCGGCAGUGUUGUGUAGUUGCAGAAAACCCUAAUGACUUUUACACGAAGAAGAUGAUAUAAUUACAGAAAUGCUAUUCGGUAAAUAAAUGUUCAAAAUUAAGGUACAUUGCGCCCAUUGAACCCAGAUUGGCUUGAUUGACAACCGUAACACAACCACUAGACCACACUGUUCUUGAUCGUUGUCGCCCACAUAAACUAUGUAUUAACAUACUUUUAUUAUUUUAAAUAAGAAACCACAUAUUAAUCUCUAAAAGACAUGUAAGCAAUCCAUUAACUCUACGUAAGCACCGUAACUAUUUGACUAACGGAAACACAGUUAAAGUAUGAAUAUACCUAAAUUUUGUUGUUCAUGUAUAAAAUUUGAAUAUAUUAAGUGUUAGUGUAUGUUAUAGCACAUGGUCCGAGUGUAUGUACUGAUCGGAACCGCGGUCCUCUAUUAAUGUAUGAAUUGGCUGAUUUUCCUAAUAUGAUCUUUGCCAACAUCACUUUCAUGGUCGGUUCUGAAAUUUUGGGAACCUAAAACAAAAUAGAAAACAUGAAGCAGUCCAAAAAAAUUAUAAGUGAAGCCGAAUAAAAAAUAUAAAAAAAGUACGAGAAAAGAGAGAGAGAAAAAAAAAGAGAAAACUUAUGUUAUUGUAAAUUAUGUUUCUUCAGUUCUAUAAACUUAAAUUUUUGAUUUACCGGGCAACUUAGUUGAUUUGUUGUUUACCCUAUUCAACUUAGUUUAAGUUACUAAAAAAAUGUGGGUUUCAUAUAAAAAUUAUUCAUAUGUAUAAUGUAUAUUAUUUUGCUUCAUGAGGGACUUGUUUUUUUUUUGUUCAACUUCUUCAUGAGGGACUAUAAAAAUUAAAGCAUGCGGUAAAUGUUUGGCCAGGGUCGGCCCUGAUCGCUCUGAAGCUACUAAACUAUCUACUCAUUUACUUUGUUUGUGGAAUACAUCCAAAUUGUGUGUUUGGUUUACACAGGAAGUAUUCACUACUUACCAUUGAUAUGUGAUUAUGAAAACGUUUUGUUUAACUAUUUUCCAGUCGUGAUUCUCUCAUAGGUUACGAUCAAUCUGUGGAUGAUGAAGAGAGCGAUCCACCAGACAAAUCUCAAGACUGAAAAGUGUGUGUGACCUUUUUGAAAGUAUAUUAUUGAUGGAUUACCUGGGAAUGCAUUUUCAUAGAAAUAGAAUCCAUUAAUUUUAAAGGCCCAAAUUUAAUUUCAUACCCUUUAGGCCUUUAGUUUAUAUUUAGUCAUGCAAAAUUUUAUAAGUGUAUAUAAGUUAAGGGCCCAGAUCUGCCUCAUAACUUGCAUUUGUAACUGGGAUAUGUAUCAUAAAUGAAUACUCAUUUUUUAAUUAUUUAUUUUAUUAAAUGAUGUAUUUGUAAAAUUCAUUCAUAUAAUAUUUAUUAAGUAAAUAUUUUUUUUUUGCAUCUUAAACUAUCUAUUUUUUACGAAUGUGUGAUAUCAUAUAAAAAAUAUAAAAAAUGAGUAUACAUAGUUAAUUAGAUAAUUGUAAAAACAUAAUUUUUUCUUUCGUUUGCGAUAUCAUAUAAAUAAUGAUCCGCCCAGUUAACAAAAAUCAUGAUUUUUUUUAUGUGUAAUUUUUUUUAUUUUGACCAUUUCAUUAAAACUAUAUUAAAUUUUACAUAUUUUAAUUAGAACUUACAAACACACGUAUUCGUACAAUAAUUAAUGAGUUUAUUAAUGAUAUUAGAACAACAUUAGGGAGAUUCUCUGCGUCAUACGAACUCCAAGAACGUUGUUUAGUAAUAAUAAUCAGAAAAUCUCUGGACUAUCGUCCUUGCACUGUUCAACAAGUAAUUGAAUAUAUGUAAAUAUAUGCUUCCAUCAAUGUAUCUAUAUAAUUAAAUAAUGAAAUGUAUUAUAAAUAUUGUUUUGUAAAUGAAAGAAAAACAGAGAUUGCGAGACAACACAUGACAUGUUUUACAAUCUGGGGUAUGGGUUGGUUUUAUCGUUAUAUGUCUUGACCGUCAACAAUGUGUGGCUCCUCCAAUCGUUUUUAACCUUUUAACCCAUACUAUGAAAUGUCCGCAACUAAUUUACUUGUGACGUGAUAAGCAUCUUCUCGUUUAAAACGNNNNNNNNNNNNNNNNNNNNNNNNNNNNNNNNNNNNNNNNNNNNNNNNNNNNNNNNNNNNNNNNNNNNNNNNNNNNNNNNNNNNNNNNNNNNNNNNNNNNNNNNNNNNNNNNNNNNNNNNNNNNNNNNNNNNNNNNNNNNNNNNNNNNNNNNNNNNNNNNNNNNNNNNNNNNNNNUGUGGCGCCGGUUAAGUUUCCGGAGCAUGGAGGCUCUUACAGAUCCAUGGCUGCCGGCUUCUGCACCCUUAGUUCCCUUCUAGGGUUUAGUUUCUGUAGUUUUUUGUGUUGUUCACUUGUUAAGUUAAGUUGGUUCGGGUUUGUUGGAUGAGUUUCUCGUCGGAGGACGAUGGAAGCUAUCCGGAGUAAAGGUUGUUGCUUGAGCGAAGCCUCCUUCUUGGUCCUCGUAUUGAACUAUGGCGGAUGAAAUCUCGGUCACGAUUGAUCCUCUCCGAGAUUAGGCGGUCCUGGGAGGUUUGGCGGUCGAGGUGAAGAAGGUGAGGAGUCUAAGUGCUCCGGUGUGGCGCGGUGAAUCGGUGGGUGAUUCUCCGGUUGUAGUUGAGAUGGAGAUGAUGGUGCGGAUCACGAGAAGGCGGCCGACAUCAGUCUUUCUCUCUUGGGCUUACGGGUUGCGGUGUUUGGAUUUUGGGCCUUCGAGGCCGUUUAAUGUAGUUGGGCUUCGGCCUUUUCGUUAAAAAAUCUUCUAGGCGGAAGCCAAAUAAAAUCUUCAAAAAGAGUAAAAAAAAAAAAGAAAUCUAUUCACUGUUCUUAAAUGACGUUUUGAAAUUUUCGUAUAAAAUGUAUAUUUUGCUAUCUUUAUUGCACACUUUGUAUCCAUGCAUACACAAUGGAUUAAUUCGACUAUAAAAUCACUCACUAACGAAUUACUGACACAUUUAUCAAGAACAAAAGAAACUACGUCAAUUUUUUUUGUUAAAGAAAAAAACUACUUACAUUCAUAUUAUAUCUUUCUUUUUUUGUCAAGGAGAUUCAUAUUGUAUUACAUCAGACUAAAUCAAAGUGGACUUUAAAAGUGGGCGUAUACCUCUAUGCACAUAAAAUAUAUGAUAUAUUUUUACCAAAAAAAAAAAUAUCGUAUAUGUGUGUAACUUUCCUUAUCACAUGGCCGGUUACUUUUCUUUUUAUUUUCUUUGUUCUAUUUAAACCUUAAAAUUCGACCCAAAAAUACAAAAUUUAAACCUUAAAUUUUUCUUUUACUAAAAAGAAGAAUUAAAACCUUAAAUUUCCAUUAGUGGAUAGCACUUAUGAGAUUAAAAUGAAUUAAUUAUCAAACCAACCAUCAAAACAAUGGGCCAAUGCAAUUUAACGGAAAUUGGACUGUAUAGCAACGAAAAAAAGCAUAUUUCACCAAAUAACCAAUUUUCCUAACUUUUCUAUACGCACCGUCAUAUAUAUAUAUAUAAUAAUACAGUAUUGUCCUUUCUUGCAACCGAUGUAAUCUGCAGAGAAAAAAAUUUAAAAUUAAUAAUUAUUAUGUGUAAAAGUAAAUCUAAUCUAUUAAAACAUGAGUACAAAGUUAGAUUACCCUUUAAUUUUUUAAUAUAUUUACGCUUUCAUACCACUGAUGUAUUAAUUAAAGCUAUAUUUAUGGAUUCUUUGUCUUUAAUGGAGUAUUAAUUGAUUUCUCCGAAAUUAAAUUUAUACUUUCCAAACAAAAACAAUGGACAUCACCCUUAUAUAUACGUUCUCUUUUAUAGUUAUUCCAUUGCUUAACAAUCAGUUAUCUCUGUCAUUUCCAUACAAAAAAAUUCACGGUAUAUAAAAAAAUUCAAAAGAUCAAUGUUCAUACUUAUAUAUUAGGUUUUCGUUAACUUUGUACCAACCAGAUAUAUCCAUGUCUCACAUUUAAGGAUAAACAACUUAACAAUUGCUAUAUAAAAUACUUCCUUCAUACUUUGACUAUCUGUAUACACCUUAAUUAUCAUGAUAAACAAUGAUUUUCACUAAUCAUCCAAUGUCAUACCUUACGGUCAAUCAACAAAAUAUUUGAAAUUAUAAUUUAUAUAAUCAUUAAAAAUAUACAUCUUCUUACACUCUCAUCCUCACAUUUUGUACAAACAAAAUUUUCACACGGUAGCCACUUGUAAUCAAUAUUAGUAUGAUUUAAUGAUUAUCAAUAUACAGCUUUUUUAGAUCCUCAUCUUUUAAUAAUAUAGAUUUCCAAAUAUAAUAAAAAAAAUAUCUUUCAAAAUAAACAAUAACUAUUUUAAAAGGCUGUUUUAAAUCCUCAUUUUUUUCCACAUCAAUACAUAUCAGGUAACCAACAGAUUUGGAAUCCAAAAUAUACGUAAACCAAAUCCUUUAAAUCCCGCAAUAUUACUUAUUAUUUUUGGUAACAAAAUAUAUUAGUUAUUUCAACAAUAUAUAAAAUUGGCCAGCAUAAUAUUUUUGGUCCUUUAACUUGGGGGUCAAUCAUCAUUUAUUCGAUUAGUUAAUAUACCGAAAUCUAACCAUAAUUGACUCAUAGAUUUCGAAAAAUAAUUAUGCUAACCAAUUUUUAUAUAUUGUUGAAAUAACUAAUAUAAAUAUUGAUUAUUUAUAUUGAUUAUAUUUUUUCUUAAAAUUAAGACCAUAUCUAAUUAGAAACUAUUUAAAUAUAAUUGAUACUUUCAUUUUUUUAAACAAAUCUUAAUCCACAUUUUUAUAUCUUACCAUAGAAGUUGCAUAAAUAAAAUAUUCUUCAAAAAAACUAUUGUUGAAUCAUAUAUCAACUUCGUAAACCAUACUAACUCGCACUUCUCUCUUUCUUCAUAUUUUAAUUUCAAAAAUUUGUUUUCUAUAUAUCUCAUGUAAAUACAUAACUCUCUUUAUUUAUAUUUUUUAAUUUAUUUAUUUGAUACUAAAUAUCGGUAAUACAAUAGACUGUAAACACACACACUAAAAUUACUCAAUGUUAUACGACUAACUAUUGAAAAUUCAUCAUUUAUUAUAAACUAAAAACUAAAAAAAUAUAUAUAUAUAUAUCCGCGCGGUUGCGUGGGUCAAGGUCUAGUUAUGGCUUAAUUGUCUUCACAUCUUAGAAAAAGCUUGCGAGACGAUGUGUCACACUUGAAGUGAAGAAUGAGCAAUCUGAGCCUCUUUUCCUUCUCAGAUUUGUGGGAUGAAAUAGUAUUGUCUAUGUUGAUGGUGAAGAGUUGUAGUGGAUAAUAGAGUUUCAAAGACUCAUGUGGUGUCUGCACAAAAGUUGAUCGGAGAAGAUGAACUGUAUAUAUUCUGCUACUAUGUUAUUUUAUUAUGUUCCAUUUCAUAUGAUUGUUACUAAAAAUGCUUUAUUUUGUUUAGAAAUAUAGUUUUUAAUUUUUUAAAGUUCUUGUUACAUGUUUUUGAACAUGUAAAAAUCUCACUAUGAUCUAUAUUGUAUAUUUUAAUAUUACAUAAUAUAGUUUAAUAUUACAUAAUAUAAAGUACUUUUUAUAUUUUGAUAUUUGGGUUUAGAUUUUAUAUUUAGGUUAGGUUUUAGUUAUUAUAGUUUAGCGUUUAGUAUUUAGAAGGCGAAGGGGUAUUGUUGGGGUUAACAUUAACUUCUUCCAUGCAAUUAUAGACAUCAUAACUUCACUAGUAUAUACUAUGUCAUUUAUUUUUGUUCCAUUAUAUUUGGGUUUAGGGUUAUAUUUGGGUUAGAAUUUAUAUUUGGGUAAGGGUUUAGUGAUUAGGGUUUUGGUUUUAGUAUUUAGUAGGUGAGGGGUAUGGUUGAGGUCAACAUUAACUUAUUCCAUGCAAUCAUAUAUGUUUUAUAAUUUCACCAAUAUAUAUGUACUAUGCUAUGUAUUUUGUUCCAUUCUAUUUGGUUUUAGGGUUUAUAUUUGGGUUUAUGGUUUAGUGAUUAGGAUUUUGGAUUUAGUAUUUAAUAGGUGAGGGGUAUGGUUGGGAUCAACAUUAACUUAUUCCAUGAAAUCAUAUAUGUUUCAUAAUUUCACUAAUAUGUACUAUGCUAUGUAUUUUCUUCCAUUCUAUUUGGGUUUAGGAUUUAUACUUGGGUUUAUAAUUUAUAUUUGGGUUUAGAGUUUAAUAAUUAGAGUUUAGUUAUUAGGGUUUAGAGUUUCGUAUUUAUGAAUUGGGGUAGUGUUUAGUAUUUAAGGAUUGUGGAUGUUGUUGCGUCCUCUUAUACUAUUUCGGUGACAUGGAAUAGAACACUACGUGCAUAUGUAUAUUACCGUAUAUUAUUAUUUUUAGAUGUUGGGGUUCGGGUAAUGUUUAGUACUUAGGUGUUGCAUAGUGAUUGAGAUUUAGGAUUCAGUAUAUAGGGGUUGAGAUAAUGUUUAGUAUUUAAGGUUAUGAGUGGAGUUAUAAUUUUAUACUAUUUCAGCGAUAUGGAAUAGAACAUUCGGUGUAUAUAUGUGGUUAAUGAACAUGUGACGUGGAUGUUUGAUAUGUGAUUAUAAACACGGUACAAAAAUAAUGACGUCGCCUACUUUCUCACUUGCAACUGGAAACCUGUUAUAAAAAGGACAGAACCGGAUGAAAUGUGUUCAAAGAGUCUGAUAUUGAAUUAUGUCAAAAUCAAUACUACUCAGCUAAUUUAUCACUCAAAUAUGGUUAUUUGGCCAAUAAGCCAUAUACAAAACAUUCUAAGAUACCUGUUCAAUAUGUAUUCAUCAUCAGUUGGAUAUAUAAUAUGUUGAAUAUCCAAUUUACUAUCAUUGUAACUUUGGAUUUUUGCUCUCACCUCAUUGACAUAGUUUUAACUUUUACAUACGCCAUACAAAAGGGCUAUAGCUCCUUCGCUUCUUCAGUAUUUGAG